GUUGUAUGGUUAAGUGACUAAGCGUAUACGGUGAUGCCUUGGCAGUCAGAGGCGAUGAAGGACGUAGUAACUUGCGAAAAGCGUUGGCGAGCUAGUAACAAGCAUUUGAGCUAACGAUAUCCGAAUGGGGAAACCCACUCACAUAAGUGAGUAUCACAUACUGUCAUAGGUAUGUGAGGCAAACCCGGGGAACUGAAACAUCUAAGUACCCGGAGGAAAAGAAAUCAACCGAGAUUCCCCUAGUAGCGGCGAGCGAACGGGGAUUAGCCCUUAAGUCUAUAGGGUGUUAGUGGAAUGAGUUGGAAAGCUCAGCGGCACAGGUGAUAGCCCCGUACAUGAAAAACUAACUAUAGAUGAAAACGAGUAGGACGGGACACGUGACAUCUUGUCUGAACAUGGGGGGACCAUCCUCCAAGGCUAAAUACUCCUGACUGACCGAUAGUGAACCAGUACCGUGAGGGAAAGGCGAAAAGAACCCUGUGAGGGGAGUGAAAUAGAACCUGAAACCGUAUACGUACAAGCAGUGGGAGCGGUCCUUGAGACCGUGACUGCGUACCUUUUGUAUAAUGGGUCAGCGACUUACAUUUUGUAGCAAGGUUAAGCGAAUAGCGGAGCCGUAGGGAAACCGAGUGUUAACUGCGCGUUUAGUUGCAAGGUGUAGACCCGAAACCGAGUGAUCUAGCCAUGGGCAGGUUGAAGGUUGAGUAACAUCAACUGGAGGACCGAACACACGUAUGUUGAAAAAUGCGGUGAUGACUUGUGGCUGGGGUGAAAGGCCAAUCAAACUCGGAGAUAUCUGGUUCUCCUCGAAAGCUAUUUAGGUAGCGCCUCGUACGAAUACCAUUGGGGGUAGAGCACUGUUAAGGCUAGGGGGUCAUCCCGACUUACCAACCCUUUGCAAACUCCGAAUACAAUGAGUACUAUACGGGAGACACACGGCGGGUGCUAACGCGUCGUGAAAAGGGAAACAACCCAGACCAUCAGCUAAGGUCCCAAAGUUAUUGCUAGUGGGAAACGAUGUGGGAAGGCUUAGACAGCUAGGAUGUUGGCUUAGAAGCAGCCAUCAUUUAAAGAAAGCGUAAUAGCUCACUAGUCGAGUCGGCCUGCGCGGAAGAUUUAACGGGGCUAAGCAAUACACCGAAGCUAUGGUUUGCUAGUUUACUAGCAAGCGGUAGAGAGCGUUCUGUAAGCCGUUGAAGGCGAAGGGGUAACCCACGCUGGGGUAUCAGAAGUGCGAAUGCUGACAUGAGUAACGAUAAAGGGGUGAACUCCCUCGCCGAAAGACAAGGUCCUGUCCAAUGUUAUCAGGGGAAACGAUGUGGGAAGGCUUAGACAGCUAGGAUGUUGGCUUAGAAGCAGCCAUCAUUUAAAGAAAGCGUAAUAGCUCACUAGUCGAGUCGGCCUGCGCGGAAGAUUUAACGGGGCUAAGCAAUACACCGAAGCUAUGGGUUUGCUAGUUUACUAGCAAGCGGUAGAGGAGCGUUCUGUAAGCCGUUGAAGGCGAAGGGGUAACCCACGCUGGAGGUAUCAGAAGUGCGAAUGCUGACAUGAGUAACGAUAAAGGGAGUGAAAAACUCCCUCGCCGAAAGACCAAGGUUUCCUGUCCAAUGUUAAUCAGGGCAGGGUAAGUCGACCCCUAAGGUGAGGCCGAAAGGCGUAAUCGAUGGGAAACGGGUUAAUAUUCCCGUACUUCUACUAACUGCGAUGGAGAGACGGAGAAGGCUAGGCUAGCGCGGCGUUGGUUGUCCGCGUUUAAGGCUGUAGGCUGUUCACUUAGGCAAAUCCGGGUGAACGCAUUAAAUUGCAAAGCUGAGAGUUGAUGACGAGUCCCCAAGGGGAUGAAGUAGUUGAUGCCAUGCUUCCAGGAAAAUCUUCUAAGCUUCAGGUUAGUAGGAAUCGUACCCCAAACCGACACAGGUGGUUGGGUAGAGAAUACCAAGGCGCUUGAGAGAACUCGGCUGAAGGAACUAGGCAAAAUGGUACCGUAACUUCGGGAGAAGGUACGCUGCCGGCGGUGAUGGGACUUGCUCCUUAAGCUGCUGGCAGUCGCAGAUACCAGGUGGCUGCAACUGUUUAUCAAAAACACAGUACUGUGCAAACUCGCAAGAGGAAGUAUACGGUAUGACGCCUGCCCGGUGCCGGAAGGUUAAUUGAUUGGGUUAUCUUCGGAGAAGCUCAUGAUCGAAGCCCCGGUAAACGGCGGCCGUAACUAUAACGGUCCUAAGGUAGCGAAAUUCCUUGUCGGGUAAGUUCCGACCUGCACGAAUGGCGUAAUGACGGCCACGCUGUCUCCAGCCGAGACUCAGUGAAGUUGAAAUUGCGGUGAAGAUGCCGUAUACCCGCGGCUAGACGGAAAGACCCCGUGCACCUUUACUAUAGCUUGGCACUGAACAUUGAACCUACAUGUGUAGGAUAGGUGGGAGACUUUGAAGCAGAGACGCUAGUUUUUGUGGAGUCAACCUUGAAAUACCACCCUUGUAGUUUUGAUGUUCUAACUCUGGCCCCUGAAUCGGGGUUGAGGACAGUGCCUGGUGGGUAGUUUGACUGGGGCGGUCUCCUCCCAAAGAGUAACGGAGGAGCACGAAGGUUGGCUAAGUACGGUCGGACAUCGUACGGUUAGUGCAAUGGCAUAAGCCAGCUUAACUGCGAGACAUACACGUCGAGCAGGUACGAAAGUAGGUCAUAGUGAUCCGGUGGUUCUGAAUGGAAGGGCCAUCGCUCAACGGAUAAAAGGUACGCCGGGGAUAACAGGCUGAUACCGCCCAAGAGUUCAUAUCGACGGCGGUGUUUGGCACCUCGAUGUCGGCUCAUCACAUCCUGGGGCUGAAGUCGGUCCCAAGGGUAUGGCUGUUCGCCAUUUAAAGUGGUACGCGAGCUGGGUUCAGAACGUCGUGAGACAGUUCGGUCCCUAUCUGCCGUGGGCGUUGGAUGAUUGAAGGAAGCUGCUCCUAGUACGAGAGGACCGGAGUGGACGAACCGCUGGUGUUCGGGUUGUUAUGCCAAUAGCAUUGCCCGGUAGCUACGUUCGGAAUCGAUAACCGCUGAAAGCAUCUAAGCGGGAAGCGAGUCCUA
rnacentral:rRNA from 1 species